AUGAAAGAGCCUGUAGUGAUCGCAUUAUACUCUGGAGAAAAAAAACCUUCAUCAGCAAAAGAAUUCCUCGAAGACUUCACCAAAGAAUUAGUUCAUCUGGAAAAGGGUUUCUGUUUCGAGGGAAAGACUUUGACCCUUAAACUUGAUACAGUAAUUUGUGACACACCGGCAAAUGCAUUUGUGAAACACACCAAAAGUCACAAUGCCUACCAUGCCUGCGAUAAAUGCACAAACCCUGGUAGACAUGAACAAAGCCGAAUGAGUUUUCCAUGUAAAGAUUAUGCACUAAGGACGGAUGAGUCUUUCAAUGACAGGUUAGAUGAGAUACAUCACCAUGAAGGGCCACAUGCAUCUGAGGGUACUGGGGUUGGCAUGGUGUCACAGUUUCCCCUAGAUUACAUGCACCUUGUGUGCUUAGGUAUCGUUAGGCGCUUGCUCAAUAUGUGGCUUCGUGGUCCUCUGACUGUCCGUGUCCCUGCAACUAUAGUUGAACAAAUGUCCGUUAAAUUGGUAUCCAUGAGGCCUUAUAUUCCGGUGGAGUUUGCCAGAAAGCCGCGAUCUCUUAGAGAAUUGGAUCGCUGGAAGGCUACUGAGCUAAGGCAGUUUCUUUUGUACACUGGACCUGUAAUGCUGGCCAGUUUUCUGGACAAAGACCUGUAUCAGAAUUUUAUGCUUCUCUUCUCUGGUAUCUCCAUCUUAGCAAGCCCAACAUUUUCCUACCUCACUGAUUAUGCUGACACUUUACUGAAGUCGUUUGUGCAGCACUUUGCUACACUUUAUGGGAGACACAACGUUGUGUAUAAUGUACACUGCAUAACCCAUCUGGCAGGUGAAGUUCAGCAGCAUGGUCACCUUGACUCCUUCUCUGCCUUCCCAUAUGAAAAUUAUCUGCAGAAGAUAAAAAAACUGGUUAGAAAACCAGAAUAUCCUUUAGCACAGAUCAUUUGUCGUCUGUCAGAAGUAAAAAUUCGGGAGGUCACAUUACCUGGCAGCACUUUAAGACGGCAGCAUUUUGUGGGCCCUAUUGUUGGGGGGAUGGCCAUCAAGGCACAGUAUGGCGAGAUGUCCACUGAGAAGUGGACUCUCAGAACAUCGACUGGUGAUAACAUCUUCAGGCUUGGAAAUUACAUUGUCUGCAUCCAAAAUAUUGUGGAAUGCAUUGGGGGGGGGGCAUUUAUGCAAUAUAUAAGGAAUAUAGAAGGAAGUCAUUGUUCUUUAGCUACCCAUUUAGCUUGGAUACACUGA
ensembl:lncRNA